UGGCCGAGUGGUUAAGGCGUUGGACUCGAA
rnacentral:piRNA from 1 species